UACGGGAGGCAGCAGUAGGGAAUCUUCCACAAUGGGCGAAAGCCUGAUGGAGCAACGCCGCGUGUGAGAUGAAGGGUUUCGGCUCGUAAAACACUGUUGUAAGAGAAGAAUGACAUUGAGAGUAACUGUUCAAUGUGUGACGGUAUCUUACCAGAAAGGAACGGCUAAAUACGUGCCAGCAGCCGCGGU
rnacentral:rRNA from 1 species